rnacentral:piRNA from 1 species
UGUUGUUUGCUAAGGUAGGGU